rnacentral:tRNA from 1 species
GCGGUUGUGGCGGAAUUGGUAUACGCGUAGGAUUCAGGUUCCUAUGUUCGCAAGGACGUGCAGGUUCAAGUCCUGUCAACCGCA